CUGCAUGAAGUCGGAAUUGCUAGUAAUCGCGGAUCAGCAUGCCGCGGUGAAUACGUUCCCGGGCCUUGUACACACCGCCCGUCACACCAUGGGAGCCGGUAAUACCCGAAGUCAGUAGUCCAACCACGUGAGGACGCUGCCGAAGGUAGGAUUGGCGACUGGGGUGAAGUCGUAACAAGGUAUC
rnacentral:rRNA from 1 species